rnacentral:rRNA from 1 species
GACGAACCGUGCUAACGUUAUUCGGAAUCACUGGGCUUAAAGCGCGUGUAGGCGGGACGGCACGUCGGUCGCUGAAAUCCCCCGGCUCAACCGGGGAACUGGCGCCGAUACGACCGCCCUCGAGGGACGUAGAGGGACCUGGAACUUCCGGUGGAGCGGUGAAAUGCGUUGAGAUCGGAAGGAACGCCCGUGGCGAAAGCGAGGUCCUGGACGUUUUCUGACGCUGAGACGCGAAAGCCAGGGGAGCGAACGGG